rnacentral:rRNA from 1 species
UACGUAGGGUGCGAGCGUUGCUCGGAAUUACUGGGCGUAAAGCGCACGUAGGCGGCUUCUUAAGUCGGUGGUGAAAUCCUGGAGCUCAACUCCAGAACUGCCUUCGAUACUGGAGAGCUUGAGUCCGGGAGAGGUGAGUGGAACUGCGAGUGUAGAGGUGAAAUUCGUAGAUAUUCGCAAGAACACCAGUGGCGAAGGCGGCUCACUGGCCCGGUACUGACGCUGAGGCGCGAAAGCGUGGGGAGCAAACAGG